rnacentral:lncRNA from 1 species
GGCGCAGGGAGCUGGAGGGACGCUCCGAUCUCCGCUGAGAGGCUCCUGGGGGCCGGGGCUCCGAGGUUUAAUAGAACAUAUCCUAUCAUGCUUUUUCUCUGCCCCUUCUCAAAUCAUCAGCAGUAGAAAAGAGAAGAAAACAUGUCAGGACACAAAUGUUAUUCCUGGGAGUUGCAGGAUCGGUUUGCUCAAGAUAAGUCAGUUGUCAAUAAGAUGCAACAGAAAUAUUGGGAAACGAAGCAGGCCUUUAUCAAAGCCACAGGGAAGAAGGAAGAUGAACAUGUCGUUGCUUCUGAUGCAGACCUGGAUGCCAAGCUAGAGCUGUUUCAUUCGAUUCAGAGAACCUGUUUGGACUUGUCUAAAGCAAUUGUGCUCUAUCAAAAGAGAAUAUGUUUCUUGUCUCAAGAAGAAAAUGAACUGGGAAAAUUUCUCCGAUCCCAAGGCUUCCAGGACAAAACCCGAGCAGGAAAAAUGAUGCAAGCCACAGGAAAGGCCCUCUGCUUUUCCUCCCAGCAAAGGUUGGCCUUGAGAAACCCUUUGUGUCGAUUUCACCAAGAAGUAGAGACUUUUAGACAUCGGGCCAUCUCCGAUACCUGGCUGACAGUGAACCGCAUGGAGCAGUGCCGGACAGAAUAUAGAGGGGCGUUAUUGUGGAUGAAGGACGUGUCUCAGGAACUGGAUCCAGACCUCUACAAGCAAAUGGAGAAGUUCAGGAAG